AGAGUUUGAUCCUGGCUCAGGACGAACGCUGGCGGCGUGCUUAACACAUGCAAGUCGAGCGGUAAGGCCCUUUCGGGGGUACACGAGCGGCGAACGGGUGAGUAACACGUGGGUGACCUGCCCUCAGCUCUGGGAUAAGCCUGGGAAACCGGGUCUAAUACCGGAUAUUCACAUCUUCUCGCAUGGGGGGUUGUGGAAAGUUUUUUCGGCUGGGGAUGGGCCCGCGGCCUAUCAGCUUGUUGGUGGGGUGAUGGCCUACCAAGGCGACGACGGGUAGCCGGCCUGAGAGGGCGACCGGCCACACUGGGACUGAGACACGGCCCAGACUCCUACGGGAGGCAGCAGUGGGGAAUAUUGCGCAAUGGGCGGAAGCCUGACGCAGCGACGCCGCGUGGGGGAUGACGGCCUUCGGGUUGUAAACCUCUUUCGCCAUCGACGAAGCCUUCGGGUGACGGUAGGUGGAGAAGAAGCACCGGCCAACUACGUGCCAGCAGCCGCGGUAAUACGUAGGGUGCGAGCGUUGUCCGGAAUUAUUGGGCGUAAAGAGCUCGUAGGCGGUGUGUCACGUCGGCCGUGAAAACUUGGGGCUUAACCCUGAGCUUGCGGUCGAUACGGGCAUCACUUGAGUUCGGCAGGGGAGACUGGAAUUCCUGGUGUAGCGGUGAAAUGCGCAGAUAUCAGGAGGAACACCGGUGGCGAAGGCGGGUCUCUGGGCCGAUACUGACGCUGAGGAGCGAAAGCGUGGGGAGCGAACAGGAUUAGAUACCCUGGUAGUCCACGCCGUAAACGGUGGGCGCUAGGUGUGGGGGCCAUUCCACGGUCUCUGUGCCGCAGCUAACGCAUUAAGCGCCCCGCCUGGGGAGUACGGCCGCAAGGCUAAAACUCAAAGGAAUUGACGGG
rnacentral:rRNA from 1 species